AAAAUAAUAAUUAAGUAUCGAUAUAUCACAAAUGAUUGGAUUUGAAGUUUCUACCCGGCACCGUAAAUGCACGGACUAUCGAUG
rnacentral:ncRNA from 1 species